UGCCUCACCACUCUCUGUGCCAGGAUGAAGCGACCGAUCUGAUGCUCCUGAAGAGUAUGAAAGUGUAAGUGGAGUGAGAGAGAGAGAAAGAGAGAGAGAGUGAGAGAGAGAGGCAAAAAGAAAGAAAAAGCUAGUGGAAAGCAGUACGACACAAUCUGCGCCACUGUCUGCUGAGAACAUCGGGUUCUCUACUACACCAGAGCUCACAACAUCCUAAAGGUGAGUGGGUGCUGUUAUCUGGGGAUACAGGCAGGAUAAGUGCAGUGGACAGAGCUGUAUGGUUGGGCGGGUCAGCUGGUGUUGUGAAUCAGGCCGCCGUAAUGAGUGGGCACGGCUUCUUCAUAACACCAGGGUCACACCCUACCACACUCAGCACCUGCCAAUGAGCACACACCUAUCCACACAUAUCCACACGUACGCACACACACACACACACACAGGCAAAAACACACUGACCCAAGCAGUACCAACUGAUAUCACAGGAAUAAUGGAAGGAAUCAGACUGUGUGAGGCUGCAUUAUAUGGACCAUAUAGACUUUUUUUUUAAUAUAUAUCAUGAACUAUAUAAUGGUUACAAAUAGUUCCAUGAAAAAUGAAAGGUGUUGCUGUGUAUUUUUGGAAGAUUUAAAUGCUUAUUCAAAACUAAAAGAAAAAUGAAACUCAUACAUUGUUAGCACAUACAUUUCUAUAUGUUUGUUGUAUAGAUGUUUUACAAUUUUGAAAUAAAAUUUUUUUAAAACCUU